rnacentral:rRNA from 1 species
CCUACGGGCGGCAGCAGUGAGGAAUAUUGGUCAAUGGACGCAAGUCUGAACCAGCCAUGCCGCGUGCAGGAAGACGGCUCUAUGAGUUGUAAACUGCUUUUGUACGAGGGUAAAUCCCUAUACGUGUAUCUUUUUGUAAGUAUCGUACGAAUACGUAUCGGCUAACUCCGUGCCAGCCGCCGCGGUCAUACGGAGGAUUCAAGCGUUAUCCGGCUUUAUUGGGUUUAAAGGGUGCGUAGGUGGUUAGUUAAGUGAGAGGUGAAAUCACGGGGCUCAACAGCGGCAUGGCAUUUGAUACUGGCAGGCUAGAGUAUAGUAGAGGUAGGCGGAAUGUGUGGUGUAGCGGUGAAAUGCAUAGAGAUCAUACAGAACACCGAUUGCGAAGGCAGCUGACCAAACUACAACUGACGCUGAGGCACGAAAGCGUGGGGAGCAAACAGGAUUAGAUACCCCUGUAGUA